UACAUGUGGGGCAAGCGUUGUUCGGAAUUACUGGGCAUAAAGGGUGCGUAGGCGGUUUGUUAAGUCACUGGUGAAAGUUUGCGGCCCAACCGUAAAAUUGCCUGUGAUACUGGCGAACUUGAGUGCGUGGAGGGGUAGGGGGAACGAGCAGUGUAGCGGGUGAAAAUGCGUAGAUAUGCUCGGAAGGCCGGAGCCGAAGGGGCCCUGACUGGUACGCAACUGGACGCUGAGGCACGAAGCGUGGGAGCAACAGGGAU
rnacentral:rRNA from 1 species